rnacentral:rRNA from 1 species
UUCAAUACCGUUUGAUCUUGUGCCAGCAGCAGCGGUAAAACAAGUGGUGUAAACGUUCUAUAGUUUGAUUAGGUGUAAUGUGUGAUU